rnacentral:rRNA from 1 species
UAGGGAAUCUUCGGCAAUGGACGAAAGUCUGACCGAGCAACGCCGCGUGAGUGAAGAAGGUUUUCGGAUCGUAAAACUCUGUUGUUAGAGAAGAACAAGGACGUUAGUAACUGAACGUCCUCUGACGGUAUCUAACCAGAAAGCCACGGCUAACUACGUGCCAGCAGCCGCGGUAAUACGUAGGUGGCAAGCGUUGUCCGGAUUUAUUGGGCGUAAAGCGAGCGCAGGCGGUUUGUUAAGUCAGAUGUGAAAUCCCCGGGCUCAACCUGGGAACAGCAUCUGAUACUGGCAAGCUUGAGUCUCGUAGAGGGGGGUGGAAUUCCAGGUGGAGCGGUGAAAUGCGUAGAGAGCUGGAGGAAUACCGGUGGCGAAGGCGGCCCCCUGGACGGAGACUGACGCUCAGGUGCGAAAGCGUGGGGAGCAAACAGG